rnacentral:lncRNA from 1 species
GGGUAAUCUAUGUGAUGGAUUUAAAAAAAUUGAAAUACAAUAUGAAUGACCAUAUCAGGGUUAACAGUUAAAUCCUAGGUCAUCUUGAGCAUUUGGAUCAAAAAGAUGAAUUAUACGGUAACCAUAUACCAAUAGGUUCUUGAAUGAUGCUUUGCAAUCUUUCGACCUAUCCAGACAUCGGGUAUCAUUGCUAGAUGGU